CCACACACUCCGAGAGAGCCUGGGCAGACAGGCGAGAGAAAACAGAGGGGCCCCGAGCACAUACGUGUAACACACACACACUGAUGCGCCGGUUUCCACGGAGGGAAGGAAAUUCAGGGCACGGGAGCCAGAGCACGGCGAGUGUGCAAAACACAUCCACACCAAACGAGGAAGCCAUUUUUCUACUUUUAUUCCCACAAAUUAGCCCGGUUGUAGAGUUUGGCCGGAGGCUGUGCGCCUGAAACCAGCUUCUUCGGGCACUUUUGCCCGCAAUCGGCUCUUUGCAUCCUUGCGCUCCCAGGAGCCCGGCUGCGGGGCGCGGGCAGAGGGGUGGGCAGCCGCGGGUUGAGAGCCUCAAAAGGAAGGGAAGACUCUUCUUGUUAACCCCAGAGAACACAGCUGCUGGAAAAACCUGCUAAGCAAACCUUCGGUGAAACCACGGCUUUGCUGUCUGCUCUGAAUUCCUGGGAGUUUCGGGCUCUCCGGCAGAAUUUGCGAUUUGACUCGAAACGCAGCCCGGUGCCCUGUUCCCUUUGAUGCUUUAUCUCGCGAUUUCCACAGUGCUCAAGUGAAUUAGGAGCUAAAAGCCCAUUUUGAAAAAGUGAGGGGAGGCUAAAUUCAGCGAGAGAGUUGGGCAGAGCAGUAGCAGCCUCCUGCUGCUCAGGAUUGUGCCUGGGAACACAGCCCUCAGCCAGCAGAAGCAAAGCAGGGAGCUGCCGAGCCUUGCCCAUUGUAAAGGCCGGUCGGGGGGGGAGGGGGGGCAACCUGCUCUCAGCUCCUCACCAGCUUAAAGCCAGGUUCAUCAUUUGACCUGCGUCCCCUCACAUCAGCCGUUCCUCCCAAAGGGCUGGAAACUGAAAGGUGUGCUGAGCAAAGCGGCCAGACACCCACAGAAGAAGGGGCGCUGACCCCCUGGUGCCUCUCCGUUUCAGAGAUCUUUUAUUGCUUGAAGCUGGCCCUGCUUCCCACCCAGCCAGGAUCAGAGGGAGAACAGGAAGGGGAGCUACUUGGAGUCGGUCCCCCUCGGGACACCAGGAAUGUGCAGCAAAGCCACCGUGCAAAGCUCCCCAUUUCAUCUCUGGGCACUGCUGAGGACCCCACCUCUGGCUGCUGUGCUGUGGGGUCUCAGCUGAUUCUCAUGAUGGUGCAAGAAUUCAUAGAAUAUCUUCUGCCUUAG
rnacentral:lncRNA from 1 species